UUACGACCAUAUCACGUUGAAACACAGAUUCCCGUACGAUCACCGAAGUUAAGCAACUUUGAGACUGGUCAGUACCUAGAUGAGUAACCGCAUAGGAAUACCAGGUGGC